GCGUAUAUUAAUGUUGUUGCAGUUAAAAAGCUCGUAGUUGGAUAUCUGGCCUUUGCGUUGACGACCCGCCCUCUUUUGGGAUGAGCGUUGGAGACGUGGGUCUAUUUUCCGGUUGGUGUCCAUUCCACUUUAUUGGGGCGUGGUUCACGAUCCGGAUCGUUUACUUUGAAAAAAUUCGAGUGUUCAUAGCAGGCUUACGCCGUGAAGAUCGCAGCAUGGAAUAAUAACAUAGGACUUGGCGUUCUAUUUUGUUGGUUCUGGAACCUAAGUAAUGAUUGAUAGGGACAGUUGGGGGUGCUGCUAUAGACUGGCCAGAGGUGAAAUUCUAAGACUCAGUCUAGAGCAACUUAUGCGAAAGCAUUCACCAAGGAUGUCUUCUUUAAUCAAGAACGAAAGUUGGGGGAUCGAAGACGAUCAGAUACCGUCGUAGUCUCAACCAUAAACUAUGCCGACUAGGGAUUGGGGGGCGUUGAAUUAUCCGACUUCCUCAGCACCUUAUGAGAAAUCAAAGUCUU
rnacentral:rRNA from 1 species